UGUGCACACUAUUAAAGCUCAGAGCUGAGGCCGUCAUGGCUGCUGAACUCCUGAGUGUCGGAAGUGUGCGACAGUAACACGGCAGGAUUUUCGCUAACACCGUCAGAGCCUCCAGCUCUAUGACCGGGGUUUGAUAGUGAUCGCUGCCACAGUC